CCUACGGGUGGCAGCAGUGAGGAAUCUUGGUCAAUGGGCGUAAGCCUGAUCCAGCCAAGCCGCGUGAGGGAUGAAGGUUCUAUGGAUCGUAAACCCUUUUUAUAAGGGAAUAAAGUGCGGGACGUGUCCCGUUUUGUAUGUACCUUAUGAAUCAGGAUCGGCCAACUCCGUGCCAGCAGCCGCGGUAAUACGGAGGAUCCGCGCGUUAUCCGGAUUUAUUGGGUUUAAAGGGUGCGUAGGCGGCCUUUUAAGUCAGCGGUGAACGUGUGUGGCUCAAACCUAGAAUUGCCGUUGAAACUGGUAGGCUUGAGUAUGUUUGAGGCAGGCGGAAUGCGUGGUGUAGCGGUGAAAUGCUUAGAUAUCAGGCAGAACCCCGAUGGCGAAGGCAGCCUGCCAGGCCAUGACUGACGCUGAUGCACGAAAGCGUGGGGAUCAAACAGGAUUAGAUACCCCGGUAGUC
rnacentral:rRNA from 1 species